CAAGUAAAUCAGAUAGCCGCAGGCUUAAGCUUGAGGAAAGUCGGAGCUCCAUAGGGCAAGAUGCUGGAUAACGUCCAGUGGGGGCGACCCUAAGGCUAGUGCCACAGAAACAAACCGCUUCGGUGAUGAAUACGAAGCAAGGGUGGAAAGGUGAGGUAAGAGCUCACCAGCGUUUAGGUGACUAAACGGCUCGGUAAACCCCAUCUGGAGCAAGACCUAAUAGGGGGACUAUGAAGCGGCCCGUUUCGUUCCCGGGUAUGGUCGCUGGAGGUGUCAGGCGACUGGCAUCCAAGAUAGAUGGCUAUCAAAUACAGAACUCCGCUUAAAGAUUUACUUGCUUU
rnacentral:RNase_P_RNA from 1 species